rnacentral:snRNA from 1 species
GAAAGUACUUGGUUCAGCAGCUCCUUCAUAUGCUAAAAUUAAACAAUACAAAAAAGGUUAGCAUGGCCACUGUGCAAGGAUAGCACACACACUCUAUUUUUUU